UCCUCGGUAGCUCAACGGCAGAGCAUGCAGCUGUUAUGCCGACGGCUGUCGGCAUGCUGGUUCGAAUCCAGCCCGGGGAGCCA
rnacentral:tRNA from 1 species